UGCACGACAAACGGGCUGUUACACUCAAC
rnacentral:piRNA from 1 species